rnacentral:rRNA from 1 species
GGGCCCGCACAAGCAGCGGAGCAUGUGGUUUAAUUCGAAGCAACGCGAAGAACCUUACCAGGUCUUGACAUCCAAUUAAAGCGGUAGAGAUACCGUGUCCCUUCGGGGGAAUUGAGACAGGUGGUGCAUGGUUGUCGUCAGCUCGUGUCGUGAGAUGUUGGGUUAAGUCCCGCAACGAGCGCAACCCUUGCGAUUGGUUGCUAACAGGUAAAGCUGAGAACUCCAAUAGGACUGCCGGGGACAACUCGGAGGAAGGUGGGGACGACGUCAAAUCAUCAUGCCCCUUAUGACCUGGGCUACACACGUGCUACAAUGGCCGCUACAGAGAGGGACGAAACCGUAAGGUGGAGUGGAUCUGAAAAAAGCGGUCUCAGUUCAGAUUGAGGGCUGCAACCCGCCCUCAUGAAGUCGGAGUUGCUAGUAAUCGCGAAUCAGCAUGUCGCGGUGAAUACGUUCCCGGGCCUU